rnacentral:misc_RNA from 1 species
UCUUNGGACAUGCCUUGCAUGNCAGGCUCCCCGCACGUAUGUGUGGCCAAUUGUCAUGGGGCUGUCUUCUCAGUGUCCCCACGUUUAUCUGUUUUGGUUGCUUGGGGUGCCUCAAAUUCGGUUGCCUGUGCGGUCUUACCGUUGUUGGUACCACAAUGUUCCCUCUGUUUCGUAUUAUGCUUGCUCCGUCAAUGCUAUGCAUAGAUGGGCGGCCGAGGUGUUGGCAAAUCCCGUGCGCUGCGAUGCACUUUGUGCGUCGGAACUGCUUAUCGGAUGUUUGUCGGGUCUCAUGGAUAUCAGUCAAUAUGUUGAGCGGUCUGCGGGCUUCAAGCGNGUAGGCUCAUGGUGUUGCCCGUACACAGAUUUGUUGMUGAUNGUGGCGU